CGCGCAGGUGGUUUCUUAAGUCUGAUGUGAAAGCCCACGGCUCAACCGUGGAGGGUCAUUGGAAACUGGGAGACUUGAGUGCAGAAGAGGAUAGUGGAAUUCCAAGUGUAGCGGUGAAAUGCGUAGAGAUUUGGAGGAACACCAGUGGCGAAGGCGACUGUCUGGUCUGUAACUGACACUGAGGCGCGAAAGCGUGGGGAGCAAAACA
rnacentral:rRNA from 1 species